CCAUAGUGGUCAUGGACGCUCCAUAUUCAAAUAGAGUGGUGUAUAAACAGCAUGUUCUUGGCUGCUCUAGUUUCCAGUGAGCUCUGUGAGAGAUAACACUCCCAUACACUUUAAACCUGGGUGAAGCAGAACUCAGAGAAGGAUGAUUUUAGGACAGUGUAUUUUAUUGCUACUCAUUUCAUAUUCUUAUGGACAGUCCCUGACUUCCUCUGAGUCUGUGGUGAAGAGACCUGGAGAGUCGGUCACUCUGUCCUGUACUGUCUCCGGAUUCUCAAUGGGCAGCUACAGGAUGCACUGGAUCCAUCAGAAACCAGGACAAGGACUGGAGUGGAUCGGGCGCAUUGACACUGGCACUGGCACAAUAUUCACUCAGUCUCUACAGGGCCAGUUCUCCAUCAGUAAAGACACCAACAAAAACUUGCUGUACCUAGAAGUGAAAAGUCUGAAAGCUGAAGACACGGCAGUUUAUUACUGUGCACGAGAGACACAUUGACACAACAGACUCCAGAGCUGUACAAAAACUUACACAAGCACGUCAUCGUGAGCUGUAAAUUUUCCCUCAGCAGGAAGCUGCACCCCAGAGACCUUUUAUUAUAAACAUCAUCUAUUCACACUCAGCACUCAGGUCUUCCUCUUUAUAACAAUCUCUUCUAGCAGUUAUUGAUAUUAAUAAUAAUAAUAAUCAUUAGCAAGCGUUAAUCCUGACGUGAGACAGUACAAAUACAAGCUUUCAGGGUUGCUGAGGGAGUUUGAGAACUGAUUUUAGGUCUUUAGCAAACUCGAGACAGAAUUCGCAGUUUUUCGCUCACCAUUCACAGUCAGAGCUUCCGGUGUGCCCGUUGACAUGCAACGUGAAAUAAUUGAUUUGCAGUGUGAUGUAAAAUUGAAGGAUAAAUUUGCCUCUGUGGGCUUGGACACAUUUUAUCAGUAUCUCCUGCCAAGCUAUCCUAAAUUAAAAGCACUGGAUGCAAAAAUGUUGUGCAUGUUUGGGACUACCUACCUUUAUGAGCAAGUUUUUUCACUAAUGAACGUUAAUAAAAGAAGCUGAACUCAAAGCUCACACAUAAGCACUAAAAUGGGAUUCUGGCUGCUACUCAGGACAUAAUGCCUGAUAUUGAUGCACUUGUGCAGAAUAAAAGAUGACAAAGAUUUUCUUUUUAAAACAGCUGCCACUUGAGAUUUUAUGUGUGUGGAGUCAAUUCAUGUAUUUAGAAUUGCUUCCAGGAAUUGGAAAUUGGAUUUUAAACAAUUUCUGUAUUUUGAAGUUUGAUUUAUGUUAACAUGCAGGACAGUGUUUUUAAGUUCCACAAACCUGUGACUAAAUGUUUUGCACUAUUGUACAAUAACUGUGUUCAGUUUUUAUGCACAAUGCACUUAA